GAGUACUUGAAACCUGCUUUUAUUGUUGGUAGUGCUUUGUCAGAUUGAUGACUAUCUUGUCAUAGUAAAAAAGGCCAUGAUGAUCUAACAUGAGCUGUGACAAUGAUGCUUUACUCUAUUUAUUUCUGUAUCACUCUGAUUGCUCAAGGACCUGCUCUCUUCCUUUCGCAUUAACCACAGCUGCCAAGUCAACUAGUCAAAACAUUUCACAAUUGAACAUUAAUGGACUCAAGAACAUUAGCAGGAGCAAAUACAAGCAGGCUACCAUAGUAACCCAAGAAAUCUGAGGAAAUGAUGUUCUAUUCAAGGGGAAGACAAUGUCCCAAAACAAAGCUUUGCAUAAACAGGUUGGCUUCUCCUGUUUAAAAUGUGUGAAGGUGAAAUGAGCUUCUGGUUUCUCAUUGUUCAUAUUCCUCACUAUAAUUAGAGUUAAGUUCUAUCAAUACUGAAGUCAUUAAAAUUUUAAAGCAAUAGAUUAUUAAAUUAAUGGGGGUAAAGAAUUAAGAUUAUUUUACAUAGACCUAGUCAUUUUAGGAUGUUUAAAAUUAUAUGAUAAAGUUCAUAAAACACAACAGGCAAAUUGUAGUUAAUGGAUCAGUAAGAUUCUAGAUUUGGCUGUUCCAGAAAUGUCACUCACCCACAAAGGUACAUGGGAAAUACAUUCCUCAUUGUAACUCUGUUUUUUAUGUUAUCCCUUAACUUGUAUUAGACAAUCAACAAUCCGCAAAAAAAAAAAAAAAAAAUUUAUUAUUAUUAUAGUGGAUUUCAGUCUUUUCCUGUUUGAAGCAAGAUCUUCAACACUUGAACUUUUGGAGUCACUUCUAAAGGGAUUAACAGAAUCAAAUAGUACUAAGCACAUAAGGAAUAAUUAAAUUUUCAAAAAUGCUUUAGUAGAGGAACUUCUCAUAGUCUUCCUAUAAAAUAAUCACAACUUUUCACAAUUCACGUCAUUAUCUUCCAACAGGGUAUCACUAAAUAUAACUGUUUAUUGCCAGAUAGGAGUUCUCUUAGUACUGAGGAGGCAAAUUCCUGCACACUGCAGUAACUUUUACAUCUUUCAACAUUUGGCAGUACAUCUAGGAAGGAUACAAUAAAGAACAGACAUGAGAAGCAGUGAUUUAUUGAAUAUCCACUGAGUAUAGAGCCCUUUAGUAAUUUUGUGCAUCUUUUUUCAUAAUUUGAUUUCAUUUCCAUGAAGGUCAAUGGAAAAUGAGGAAGACGUUUCCAAUCAAAUUGCGAACAAAUAGAUACUUUAUCAUGUAUUCAAUUAAAAUUAUUCUGGAAUGGGUGAGCACAUUUUUAACAAUAAGAAGUAAAGGCAAGUCUAAACUCUACUAAUAGUAUUCUGUAAUUGCAGAUCCAAGACACUAAGAGAAAGGUGGAAGGAUAAUGAGAAGAAUACAGGCUGAAGAGAAAGGAGGAAAGAUAAACUGGCAAUUUGCAACCAAGAAUUAACCUAGGGAUGUGCAUUGACACUAGUUUUAUAAUUUUUGUCCAUUUUGUGAUUAACAAGCUGACUUAGCUUAAUUUGAUUCUCCUUUCUUUGUAAUACAUAUUUAACAUAUUUAUACUAAGUUAAGUUACAUGUUUAGAGUUCAAAGUAAUGCCAGCACUGAGGAAUGAUCUUAGGAAAUAAGUUAAUUUCAUGAAGAUAGGAGAAAACAGCUACAGUAUAAAUGAUCCAUUAUUUUAAAUGUCAGUUUGUAAAAGAGCAAUCAUUUAUAUUCAUUGUGAUCACUAUGUAGGAUGGCUGUUUCUGUUUAUUUGUUUGCCAUCAUAUCAGUUUAUACCUGCUGCCCC
rnacentral:lncRNA from 1 species